AGUUGAUGCUGAACCUGAGCUGCAGUGCUAUAGUUUCAUCCAUAUUGUAAAAUUUACCAAAGUGACGUCCAAUUGGUUGAGUUUAUUCGUUAAUUCAAAUACGGUAUGAUCCUGACAAUGGUUUUAACUUCAGGGAGUAACAUUUCUUUGAUUUCUGUGAAUGUCGGGUUCUCGUCAUCUUUUCAUUAUUAUGGAAGUUACACAUCUUAUCUGGGAUGUACUGUAUGAGAUAUAACAAAAGAAGUGCUGUUAGAUACGUUGGAGUAGUCUGGACGUGCCAAGAUGGUAGUCUAAUACGUCAUUUUGUAAUUUUCCGAAAAGACGUAGUGCAAAUGGCUUAUACGCUAGUAAAGUAUCUACCUUAGCGCCGCCUCGUGGCUUAUUUCUUAAAU